UUUUAAUUUGCAUUCCUGCUGACAAGGUUCCUCUCCCCACAAUACCUGGCGAAGGACUUGUGUGAUACAAAUAGCCUUCAACAUUUCAGAGAUAAAGACCAGGACACAUGUG
rnacentral:lncRNA from 11 species